GACGAACGCUGGCGGCGCGCCUAAUACAUGCAAGUCGAAUGAGCGAGAGAGAGCUUGCUUUCUCGAGCGAGUGGCGAACGAGUGAGUAACACGUGAGGAACCUGCCUCAAAGAGGGGGACAACAGUUGGAAACGACUGCUAAUACCGCAUAAGCCCACAGCUCGGCAUCGAGCAGAGGGAAAAGAGUGAUCCGCUUUGAGAUGGCCUCGCGUCCGAUUAGCUAGGUUGGUGAGGUAACGGCCCACCAAGGCAACGAUCGGUAGCCGGACUGAGAGGUUGAACGGCCACAUUGGGACUGAGACACGGCCCAGG
rnacentral:rRNA from 1 species